rnacentral:rRNA from 1 species
UGCCAGCAGCCGCGGUAAUACGGAGGGCGCAAGCGUUGUUCGGAAUCACUGGGCGUAAAGCGCGUGUAGGCGGUUUGGAAAGUCGGGUGUGAAAGCCCGGGGCUCAACCCCGGAACUGCACUCGAAACUGCCAAGCUAGAGUCCCGGAGAGGGUGGCGGAAUUCCGAGUGUAGAGGUGAAAUUCGUAGAUAUUCGGAGGAACACCAGUGGCGAAGGCGGCCACCUGGACGGUGACUGACGCUGAGACGCGAAAGCGUGGGGAGCAAACAGGAUUAGAUAC